rnacentral:lncRNA from 1 species
AUUAUGACUCUUUGAAUUCUUAAUCAUUUAUUCCACUAACAACCUACUAUUACCAACUAAACUGCCUAACCAUCAGUCUAAUUCUCAAGGUUGUCAAUAACCAACUAAUAACUUACCACAAAUUUUAUUUACCUAUUUUACAUAGCCCCACUCCUAAUUAUAUAGCAUCCUCGCAAACAUUACUUAGCCUCAACUUAUAAAGACGUAGCAGCAUUGGCUUCUUCAGUCAAUGGCGUUGGCUUACCACCCUUUGAAUUAGUGACCUUCUCUUCUUUACAUCUUUGUCAUCUGCCUCGGUGUUUGAUGGUUCUCUAUCCAAAUGCACCGUCAGAUCUUUAUUCAACAAAUCCAAUUUUCGUCCCUAAGACUCAAGUUGGACAAUUUGGUUGUUACAUUUCUCCAACAUCUUUUGCCAUUCUUCUAUCGAUUUCAAAGGUAUCUCCGAAGGUAUUGUCGCUGAAACUGGCAUAUUGGUCUGCACUAAAUUAUUGGCCUCCUUUGCUAAUGUGGCUAUUUUAGUCUACAACAUCGCAACCUCUACCUCCAACU